rnacentral:miRNA from 1 species
AACAUUCACUGCUGUCGGUGGGU